GACCAUUGGAUGGUCCCGGGAUAUCUAUGUUGAACAUGUCUCGGGAAUUCGACAGUACUCAACUUCUAACACGGACCGACUAAACAGUGCAUAUAAUAACGAUGAAAACGCUGAGAGAAAUAAUAACAUAAAUGAUAACAUUCUAAGGAAGGUGAGGCUCAGCAUAGUCAACACUACCGGACAGUAACUGCAUCUCCUCCUCAACAUUGCGCGGAGAUUAAUAUUAUCACAUAUCUGUGGUCUAUUGUCUGUGAUUUAUCUCCAAUAGAGAUUCAUGUAACUAAUGUACAAAUGUUUCCCCUGUAGGAUUUUUUGUAUUUUUAUUUAAUUCAUAACUGACCGAAGCUGUAGAAGGUCCAGCCCAAGAGGGUACUGGCCUUAGAUGAAGACAACGUCUAAAAUAACUAGAUGAGAAGAUUCAGAAGAAACUGUGUGUACGAGUUAAAUUUAAGUAUGCGACAAAUGUUAAAUGCUUAAUGUAUUAUAAGUUUAAAAGAAAUAUGUAUAUGUUGAAACUUUAAAAUGUACCACCCUGCAGCUUCGGCUGUGGGGAAACAUUCAUUGUUAAAUAAACUUCAAUUUAUCUGUU